rnacentral:rRNA from 1 species
CAGCCGCCGCGGUAAUACCGGCGGCCCGAGUGGCGGUCACUAUUAUUGGGCUUAAAGCGUCCGUAGCCGGGUUGGGAAGUCCUCCGGGAAAUCUGGCCGCUUAAAGGUCAGAAUGCCGGAGGAUACUCCCAGCCUAGGGAGCGGGCGAGGCCGAGGGGAUUCCCGGAGUAGGGGGGAAAUCCUAUAAUCCCGGGAGGACCACCUGUGGCGAAGGCGCUCGGCUGGAACGCGUCCGACGGUGAGGGACGAAGGCCAGGGGAGCAAACCGGAUUAGAUACCCGGGUAGUCCUGGCUGUAAACGAUGCGGACUUUGUGUCGGACAAGCUAUGAGCUUGUCCGGUGCCGGAGGGAAACCGUUAAGUCCGCCGCCUGGGGAGUACGGCCGCAAGGCUGAAACUUAAAGGAAUUGGCGGG